rnacentral:rRNA from 1 species
GUGGGGAAUAUUGGACAAUGGGCGAAAGCCUGAUCCAGCCAUGCCGCGUGUGUGAAGAAGGUCUUCGGAUUGUAAAGCACUUUAAGUUGGGAGGAAGGGCAGUAAGUUAAUACCUUGCUGUUUUGACGUUACCGACAGAAUAAGCACCGGCUAACUUCGUGCCAGCAGCCGCGGUAAUACGAAGGGUGCAAGCGUUAAUCGGAAUUACUGGGCGUAAAGCGCGCGUAGGUGGUUUUGUAAGUUGGAGGUGAAAUCCACGGGCUCAACCUGGGAACUGCCUCCAAAACUGCAUGACUAGAGUACGGUAGAGGGUAGUGGAAUUUCCUGUGUAGCGGUGAAAUGCGUAGAUAUAGGAAGGAACACCAGUGGCGAAGGCGACUACCUGGACUGAUACUGACACUGAGGUGCGAAAGCGUGGGGAGCAAACAGGAUUAGAUACCCGUGUAGUCC